UACGUAGGGCGCAAGCGUUAUCCGGAAUUAUUGGGCGUAAAGAGCUCGUAGGCGGUUUGUCGCGUCUGCUGUGAAAUCCCGAGGCUCAACCUCGGGCUUGCAGUGGGUACGGGCAGACUAGAGUGCGGUAGGGGAGACUGGAAUUCCUGGUGUAGCGGUGGAAUGCGCAGAUAUCAGGAGGAACACCGAUGGCGAAGGCAGCCCCCCUGGGCCAAUACUGACGCUCAGGCACG
rnacentral:rRNA from 1 species